rnacentral:snoRNA from 1 species
UUGCUGUGAUGAGCUGAAUUUCUUCACCUGACAUUCAUUGAUGACCAAAUACUCUGAGCAAA